AGUGAACGCUGGCGGCAGGCCUAAUACAUGUAAGUCGAACGGCAGCACAGCAGAGCUUGCUCUGUGGGUGGCGAGUGGCGGACGGGUGAGGAAUACAUGGGAAUCUGCCCAGUCGUGGGGGAUAACGUAGGGAAACUUACGCUAAUACCGCAUGCGCCCUUCGGGGGAAAGCCGGGGACCUUCGGGCCUGGCGCGAUUGGAUGAGCCCAUGUCGGAUUAGCUAGUUGGCGGGGUAAAGGCCCACCAAGGCGACGAUCCGUAGCUGGUCUGAGAGGAUGAUCAGCCACACUGGAACUGAGACACGGUCCAGACUCCUACGGGAGGCAGCAGUAGGGAAUAUUGGACAAUGGGCGCAAGCCUGAUCCAGCCAUGCCGCGUGAGUGAAGAAGGCCUUCGGGUUGUAAAGCUCUUUUGUCCGGAAAGAAAAGCAUCCAGUUAAUACCUGGGUGUCCUGACGGUACCGGAAGAAUAAGCACCGGCUAACUUCGUGCCAGCCGCCGCGGUAACAC
rnacentral:rRNA from 1 species